NNCUCGAUGGCCACUGACCCCCCCCAGCUCAGGUUCUGUGAUACACUCGACUUGGCUCUGGAGCAGUCAGUGCAUGACAGAACUUGGGCUCGGGUGGAUCUCAGCACCAACAGGCCA
rnacentral:pre_miRNA from 15 species